AAAAAGGAAGAGACUUAUGAAAAAGGAAAAGCAUACAAGUAAACAUACAUUUUGCGAUUAUCAGAUGAACAUUGAAUCACAAAGUAUGACAGAAUAAAAUGGAUUAAAAGUUAAGUGUUUGGUAAACAUAACACGCAUAAACAUAGUUUAACAACAAAAACACUAGAACAACAUAUAACAGAAAACAUAAACAAAGAAAAAAAAUAGUGCUUUAUUCUUCUUCCGAACCGGCCUCAUCCUCCUCGCCAUCCG
rnacentral:lncRNA from 1 species